UACUUACCACUAUACUACAACGACCUUGUUGAUACACAAUUCAAUAUAAUAAUUAUUUAAUUCGACAAAUACAAAGCAUACACUUGUCGUCCUCUUUUUCACUCAGAGACAGCUUCUUUGAAAUUAGCUUUGACACUGAGCUCAUCGUACGCAUUCACGAGAUUCUCAAGCCUCGCGACGAAUUCGAUCAGUAGCGAAGCGAACGUAGCUAGAGAAAGAUUACUCGCGCUCUCGUACAUUUUUCCCGGCUCUCCCAGUGGUGGCUGUAACAUACUUCCCGGCGUAAUAGAGAUCCGGCUAGGCCACGACGGCUGUUUAUGUAUCAUCGUCCUUGAUUGCAGGUAAGGAAGCAUCGUCGCCGAACUCAAGUUAGCUGCAGUUGUAACAUCAUCCCAAUUCUUCGGUGGACGAAGAGUGGCUUCACUCUGAGAUUUAUGAGCCAAGAUCCGACUUAGAUCAGAGUCGAGAUUCGAGAUUUUUUGUUCAUCAGUCAAAUCCCUAACCCUAGGCCGGUUCCCGAUUUCCCAAUUCUUGGCGUUCACGAGAAGGUAUGAUUUCUUGUCGAUUUUGCUCUGUAGUUCUUCUGCUGCUUGGUGAAUCUCGUAGAGUAUGUCUUCUAUAGGGUUUAGCUUCUCCAUCUUCUUCAGGCUUUCCCCAAUGUAUCUUAGUACUUUUGCUCCUUCGAUUCCCACUCUUUGAAGCUCAUUACGAAAUUCUCGUCUUCUAUCCUCUGCAGCCUGCAAUUACUUUGCAUACUCUUGUCUCAAAUCUCUCUUAAGAUCUGAAGAUUAUAGAAUGUUUCUGACUUAAAGAUUGGAAAGUACCUGGAUCUCUGAGAGAAUGCAGCCAUGUAACGCCAUGACCAUGAUAGCACAAUGCCUCAAUGCACCACCUACUUUCACAUACAGUGCCCAUGGGUAUCUAAAGGAUUUGUACGGUCCGUGUGGUGGCUCCCAUGAUGCAAAACUCAUCUUCACAAUCACACCAACAACAAGAAAAAGAUGUGAGGAUCUCAAAUUGAACGGCUGAUCUGUAACCACUGUACACUGGAUCUUCCGCGACAGCUUCAUAGACCAGAAUCCUAGAUGGGAUUGUAUCAUAUGCUACGCACUCAAGAUAUCCGUUCACACAACCUGCACAAAGGAACAUUUUCCAUGGAUUGGAAACAGACUAAGAAGCUUUUCAACCAGAAACUCAAAUUCAGGGAGAGAGUUAAUAAUAAACCUUCCAGAGAAGUCGCUACGUUCACAAAGUUCUUGGCGACCAAGUUAUGGAGAUCUUCCCCAGCCCAUAUGGGAUAAAUGCAAGUAUUCACUAUGAGGCCAACACUGGCACCAAGAGCUAUCAGAAGGAACCUUGAAACAGCUGUUUCCAUGAAUUCCCCUGUUUUGUAUCCUGACACUAUUACGUAGCAAUAGGUCAGCAAGAACACCCGGAAUCCGUACUCGUAAGGCUUCAUCGUUGGAUAUAGCUUUGCAUAAGUCGCAAAAAAGGCUGAUACAAGAGCAGGCAUGCGAUAUUGUCAGAAAUCAGAAUGAGAUUGUGGAAGCUUUAGUUUAGACCACACAUCAUGAUUUCGUAUAUAUACCUACUACAAAGAUGCUAGCAGCAUUAAAAACAUCUGCCCAAUUUCCAGUCAUCUCCGAUAUCCAAGACAUGCCAAGCGCCAGUCCUCCUGCGGACAAUGUUCCUAGUCCCCGGUUACAUCCUUUGCUAAAGGUGGCUCCUAUACAAAAAACAAGAGAAGAUCACAUGUCAGGUAUUAAAGUUUUUAGAAUGCUCAAAUUUGAUGUGUAAAGUCUGUUGCAUAUACCUAUACUGAACUCGAAGAUAACAACUACUGUAAGAAUUGCCCAGAGAUAGUGGCCGCUGAGCUCUAAUCCUGGGAUCUUAAAGAAGAUGAGGAUAGAGGUAAGUGUCAGAGCCAAACCCAUCUUCGCCGAGAAUAUCAUCUUCCUCGGGUCAGCUGUUCCCAUCUCCCAUGCCGUAACCAAAACAUCCUUUAAUUUCUUCACAACCCCCGUGAUCUUGUCAGAGAAGUAGCUGCAAACAACACCAAUAGCAUUUCAAGACUUAACCAUUUGAGAUUACUUGACAUUGGACUCCAAGAGGCAUCAUAUUAAGAUAAAAUGGCUUCAAAAAGGUUUGGUCAAUAGAAGGUUCUGGAAAGAAGGAGAGAUUGUAUGUAAUGUAUAACCUGUAGGAGCAGCAACGGACGGAAGUUUUGUCAUCGUCGUUGACAUUGGAAUAGCCUCUGCUCUGUAGGAUAAGCCUAUCUCUCAUGCUUUGUCGAAACGAACCAUCGAACAUACUACCUCGCCUGAAAGAUCCGUCGAACAUGCUACCCCGCCUGAAAGAUUCCAGCUUUGGUGCCGCCAUUUCUGGUUCUUGAUUCCGAUGAUUGCAGAAGAUUGAUAGAGGUGUAAACAGAGACGGAAAGACUCGGGAGAGAUUCUAUUAUUUAUUGUGCAUUUGUGGUUUAUGAUUUCUAUCAAAGACACGAUGGUGUCAUGACUGAUGAAUCAUGAACUGAAAAAACCCAGAUUCCCAAAUUUGGAACUGUUUUCGAAUUUUGCAAAGAAAUGGUAUGCAAAUCUGGUAUGAUUGCUAUGCACGUCUUAGAGCACGUUUUCGUGUCUAAUUACAGAUUGUUUUUCAACCCAUAAUCUCAAUAAAAUUUAUUUUCAUUAAUAAACCAAAAAUACCGGUCAAAAUUAUGAAGUGUUUAAUGAAGUGUUGUUUUUUUCUGAAAAAGGGAUUACAUUAAGC
rnacentral:lncRNA from 1 species